rnacentral:lncRNA from 1 species
CGGGGGAUGCGGGAGGCGGCGAUCGGCUGCCACCCGAGCAGGGGCGCCUCGGUCCUUCGCACCCCGCCGUCCCUCCGCUGAAGACCGUGCGCCCCGGAGUGGGUCUAACGCAACCCUGAGCUCGGGUUCUGCAGAGGACCGGGUCCCCUGCCCCUGCCUGCAGGCACAUAUGGCAGGCAGAUCUCUCUUUAAUUUACAGGUGAUGUCUGCUGGGACAAUGGCGCACAAGCAGAGGAGAUAUUCAUCAGCUGUACAUCUGCUGUUCCUUGCUGCCCCACAAGCCCAGAAUUCUGGUUGUCUUACAAUGUUCGGAGGUUCAGUGACAUGUGUGUUUCAUCUUUGAUUGAAGGAGACAUGUGGUGAAGACUUGAAUCUGACCUGCAUCCUGGAGCCAAGUCCAGCUGAAUUCAGCUGAACCCAACCAAGUCUUAAGGAGCCCAGAUGAGAUGAGCUGAAUCUCAGUUCAUAUACAGACCCAUAAGGGAGAAAAAUAAAUGACUACCAUAAGCCACUGAUAAGUUGGGAUUAUCUGUUACAUAAUAUUAUUAUUGCAGCAAGCAAUAGCUGACUAACUCAACAUGAUUUCCUCAUGGAUUUGUGGUGUUACCAUGAUCACAUAUCAGAUUCUCUUAUGUAAAUGGGUUGUUUCUGAGUUCUCUAUUCUGUUUCAUGGUUCUGUAUGUCUGCUACUAUAAAAAAUGACCGACUUAUAAAGAAAUUUAGUCUUCCAUGUGCAUUUUAGAAUACGUUUAAAUUCCCCAAAUCUUGCUACAAGUUUGGUUUGCAUUGAAUUUAUAAACACAUUUAGAGAUAAUUGAGAUCUUAAUAACGUUACAUCAUCUUAUCCAUAAACAUUAUAUAUACCUCUAUUUGGGUUUCCUUUGAAUUCCUUCAAUAAAUUCAAAUAUGUUAAUUCCUGGAUACUUUAUAGUUUUGUUGCUUUUAUAAAUAGUAUCUUAUUUUCUAGUUUGUUAGUGUAAGUGUGAAUGAAUACUUUCAG